rnacentral:rRNA from 1 species
UACGUAGGGGGCAAGCGUUGUCCGGAUUUAUUGGGCGUAAAGCGCUCGCAGGUGGUCCGCUGCGUCGUGCGUGAAAGACCCCGGCUCAACUGGGGAGUGUCGUGCGAUACGGGCGGACUGGAGGCCAGUAGGGGGAUGCGGAAUUCCGGGUGUAGUGGUGGAAUGCGUAGAGAUCCGGAGGAACACCAGCGGCGAAGGCGGAUCUCUGGGCCUUACCUGACGCUGAGGCGCGAAAGCUAGGGGAGCGAACAGG